GUGUGAGAAUUGGUAAUCAAGAUGUGGUUCCAACUUUUGACAAGGUAUCUAAUUGAGUUUUUUUUUUAUGAAAAGAGUGUAAGUCUUAUUAUAGUAAAACUGUUAUUCAGAUGUUUUGUAGACUGUCUUCCAAUGUGUGCUGCAUUUUUGUAGAAAUGCAUGUUUGAUUUAUGUGUGCAUCAUAAAAUGUCUACAUUGUACAUGAUGAACAACUUGUGAAAUGCUAAAUAUCUUACUAUGAUAAUUAUUAAAGAUUUGAAAAAUAAAUUGCAUGUAUAUAUCUUCAUUUUAUUUAUUUGCAUACUAUGUGACAUUAUCAGUCUUAUGAACCUGUAGAUUUAAACUAACCAUAUUCAGUCUGCUGAAACAUGAAAUAAUUUUCAUUAAAUACUUAUACAGCUAAACAGCAGUAAAUAAUAAUCAAGGUGGGUCUUGUGAAUAAGUUUCAUGGGGAAAUGUUUUGAUCUGUUGGCUAAUAAUUAAUACAAAUUAGACUGGUACAGAUAUAUACUUUUAAGUGGAGGGUCCAUAUUCUAAGUAGGGAGAGUGUCAAUCUUGUUUUGAAUAUUUAAUCAUUUCAUCAAAGCACACCACUGGAAAUUGAAGAAGAAACAAUCUUAUUUGUUACUUAUGAGAUUUGUAAUUGAUUUAGAUUAGUUGCCACUCUUUUAUAAGACUGUAUGUAAUACUCUUGGUUGUUGUUUUUUUAAUGCUCCUGUAUAUGCAUUGCCCUUGUUCUCAUUUUUUGUUGUGAAACUGUUAUUUUAACAGUUCAGGAAAUUUAAUGAUAUUUUGAUAGCUUGUAUUUAGAUAGACAAUUACAAAUAUUUACAAAAUAGUGCAUCAUAUAGUAGCCAUUUUCUAAUCAACUUGUUGCACAUUAUUAAAAUUAAUAACUGACUGAAAUUGCUCAUUCUUAAUAACAUGUUGCUUUCUAUUUCAAUCAAACCAACUUUCAAAAUUUGGUUGGCUUACCUUAUAUCUAAAGCAGGGGUGUAAAUGGAGUGACAAGGUCUUGUUUCAAAAAUUGUAGGAAAAAUCAUUUCAAAAAAGUAAUCUUUCAAGUGAUGUUGAGCUCUUUAUCUCUGAGAGUGAAUACUUUCCCAUUGGAUAUAACACCAUAGCAGCCAAGCUUUUCAAUCUUCUGUGUAUCUCAUUUUUUUCAGGGAAAUGUUUGUUGCCGAUAAUCAAUGUAGAAUUGGUAACAAAAAAUAGUGAUAGUACAUCAGUACAUGGCUCAUUGUAUUUUAAUGACAUGAUUCAAGACACAUCAUUUGUGAAUCUAAAACAUGUGGAUUGAAUCUAGGUAAAAAUGAAUAUUUGAGAGGCUAACCUAUCGUGUUCAGUUGUUCCACAUAUUCAGGUAUCAAGAUUGAAUGUCCAGACAAGGGCAAGCAGGUAGUGAUUAGUGUUUACCAGGAGGAGACUUGAUCAAAUACUGAUUAUCACAUUAAGAUAAUAGUUUUCAAUUCUGGAGCAAUAUAAUGUUCUCACCAUAGAGGGAGCUAUAGAGUAUGGGACCAAAAGAGCUUCAAUCAUACACAGUAGGCCUAUGCCCUGAGAGAAAUCGAGGACAGUGUAAAGGCCCUGGUUUUAUGAUUCUAAAAUCUAUGUGAGCAGAAUCCAAGAUUUGAAAUGAGUGAAAUCUCUCUUUAAGUGUGACCAAGGUGAGUUUAAAUCAUCUAUUCAUUACUUUUUCUUUUGCUGAGAGAUGUUUUUUUAAUAUCUUAUUAAAAUGUCAUGUAUGAUAAUUAUUGCUUAUUACAAUUAUAUAUUUAUUAUCAUUUGCUACUGUAGAAUUGGGAUCAAUAGCUAGUGGAUAUAAUGUAAGUUUUGUGUCUUUCGCAUGUCAGAAAUCAUAGUCAAAUAUAAGAAUAGGAGCACAUUCAUUUGAUAAAACAAACUUAUAUUCAUGAAUGAUAUUCCAGCUUGUUCUUUGCUUCAAAGAAUUCCAUGAUCUGGAUUAUUACUGGUCCCAUUUAUAAGUAAAGGGGUUUAGCAGAAGGUGGUUGGGGGUGAUUUUCAACUCAUGAAGGAGAGAACAUGAAAAGAAAGUGUGGAAAAGAAAGGAAAAAUUGUUUUGUAACUUCACAAUAUUCCCUUUUAAACAAAUCAAACAAUUUUGGGGGUAUCUUGCACCCCUCCCACAACAGAAUUCCCUGGUUCUCCCCCUGAAUAAAUCUCAUGAAUUCUGAUUCUAAUUACAAUUCUCAGUUAUAUUCCGGUAUUUUUUAUAAAACUUUCUGAAAGUAUUUUCUUUUUUGGUCUGUUUUGAUAAUUAUUAUGCAAGUGGUAGUUCAUCAGGCAACAUUCCACAUCUUGAAUAUAAUGCUUGACUUUUUUGCAAUAUGAUAUUUCAGGUGACACCGAUAGAUGUAUUCGUGCAAUUCUGGUUAAAAAUGCUCAAUCUGAUUAUCACUACACUAUUCUGAACAUUUUACCUAGAUCUAAAAGUACAAGUUCACCAGACAUGCUUUGUUAGGUGGAUAUCUGCUGAUUCAUUCAGUCUGUGAAGGUACAAAUCUAAAUAAUUCUUAGAGUCUGGGACAAACAUCAAAUUGGUUGUAGAGAGGGGAGGGGGGAAGCGAGCAGAUUAUUUUUUAUACCAUGUUUUGACCAACUCAAUUGAUGCCAGGAAAAAUAUACUGUGGUUUUAUAAGUGGAAGUUUUUUAGGUGAUUUGUGGUUGAUGAAAUGAAUGGUAAUUGUUUGCCAAUAGAUUUUGAUUGAAUUAGAGCAAAAGUAUGUUUGACAUGUUUGCGCCAGGGAUUUGGGCUCAUUGUUUGAAAUGCAAGAUUUUUAUCAAAUGCAAGUCAUUACGUGUAUGAUCUUGAAAUGUGACAGGUUUAUGUUUUUGAUGACAGCAUUUUUCACACAUUGAGGGUGUCAUUCAUCAUUGUUAUGAGUGUAAUAUAAUGUCAAAGAUUAAUCCUACCUGCCAUGAUGCUAGCAUGCUAUGUUUACUGGAGAUGUUGGAUGCACUGAUCAAAAUCUCUAGCAAGCAGAAAGAUGUGUAAAGAGAUAGUGAGAGAAAGAGAAAAUGUGGAAGGAAGGAAAUAUUGGAGAGAGGG